GACGAACGCUGGCGGCGUGCUUAACACAUGCAAGUCGAGCGGUAAGGCCCUUUCGGGGGUACACGAGCGGCGAACGGGUGAGUAACGCGUGGGAACGUGCCCUUCGGUUCGGAAUAACUCAGGGAAACUUGAGCUAAUACCGGAUACGUCCGUAAGGAGAAAGAUUUAUCGCCGAAGGAUCGGCCCGCGUCGGAUUAGCUAGUUGGUGAGGUAACGGCCCACCAAGGCGACGAUCCGUAGCUGGUCUGAGAGGANGAUCAGCCACACUGGGACUGAGACACGGCCCAGACUCCUACGGGAGGCAGCAGUGGGGAAUAUUGGACAAUGGGCGAAAGCCUGAUCCAGCCAUGCCGCGUGAGUGAAGAAGGCCUUAGGGUUGUAAAGCUCUUUCAGCGGGAAGAUAAUGACGGUACCC
rnacentral:rRNA from 1 species